rnacentral:rRNA from 1 species
UACGUAAGUGGCGAGCGUUAUCCGGAUUUACUGGGCGUAAAGGGCGCGUAGGCGGCUUGACAAGUCACUUGUGAAAUCUCCGGGCUUAACUCGGAACGGCCAAGUGAAACUGUCAUGCUAGAGUGCAGAAGGGGCAAUCGGAAUUCUUGGUGUAGCGGUGAAAUGCGUAGAUAUCAAGAGGAACACCUGAGGUGAAGACGGGUUGCUGGGCUGACACUGACGCUGAGGCGCGAAAGCCAGGGGAGCAAACGGG